GGCACACCUGCCGCUCCAA
rnacentral:miRNA from 1 species